rnacentral:rRNA from 1 species
UACGUAGGGUGCAAGCGUUAAUCGGAAUUACUGGGCGUAAAGCGUGCGUAGGUGGUGAGUUAAGUCUGAUGUGAAAUCCCCGGGCUCAACCUGGGAAUGGCAUUGGAUACUGGCUCGCUAGAGUGCGGUAGAGGGUGGUGGAAUUCCCGGUGUAGCAGUGAAAUGCGUAGAGAUCGGGAGGAACAUCUGUGGCGAAGGCGGCCACCUGGACCAACACUGACACUGAGGCACGAAAGCGUGGGGAGCGAACAGG